GAGGGUAUAGCUCAGUGGUAGAGCACAUGUGCAGCAUGCAUGAGGUCCUGGCUUCAAUUUCCAGUACCUCCA
rfam:Camelus ferus unplaced genomic scaffold scaffold237, whole genome shotgun sequence.